UGUAAAUGAUGACAGUUGUUUUCCCGACAUCACGGUGAGGGUGAAAGCUGAUUUAAUGAGCCUGAUGC
rnacentral:snoRNA from 1 species